rnacentral:rRNA from 1 species
CCUCGGGUCGCUCCAGUCGAGAAUCAUCCGCAAUGGGCGAAAGCCUGACGGUGCAAUGCCGCGUUGGGGAUGAAGGCCCUCGGGUCGUAAACCCCUGUCAGGAGGGACGAAGAAGUGACGGUACCUCCAGAGGAAGCCACGGCUAACUACGUGCCGGCAGCCGCGGUAAUAGCGUAGGUGGCGAGCGUUAUUCGGAUUUACUGGGCGUAAAGGGUGCGCAGGGGGUUUGCCAAGUCUGGUGUGAAAUCUCACGGCUCAACUGUGAAACUGCGCUGGAUACUGGUGAACUAGAGUGCGGGAGGGGUGAGUGGAAUUCCUGGUGUAGCGGUGGAAUGCGUAGAUAUCAGGAAGAACACCAACGGCGAAGGCAGCUCACUGGCGCGCAACUGACCCUCAUGGACGAAAGCGUGGGUAGCAAACAGGAUUAGAUACCCGAGUAGUC